GACGAACGCUGGCGGCGUGCCUAAUACAUGCAAGUAGAACGCUGAAGCGAGGAGCUUGCUCUUCUUUGGUGAGUUGCGAACGGGUGAGUAACGCGUGGAUAACCUGCCUUGUAGCGGGGGAUAACUAGUGGAAACGAUAGCUAAUACCGCAUAACAAUGGAUGACACAUGGCAUUUAUUUGAAAGUGGCAAUUUCUCCACUACCAGAUGGACCUGCGUUGUAUUAGCUAGUAGGUGAGGUACUGGCUCACCUAGGCGACGAUACAUAGCCGACCUGAGAGGGGGAUCGGCCACACUGGGACUGAGACACGGCCCAGACUCCUACGGGAGGCAGCAGUAGGGAAUCUUCGGCAAUGGGGGCAACCCUGACCGAGCAACGCCGCGUGAGUGAAGAAGGUUGUCGGAUCGUAAAGCUCUGUUGUAAGUCAAGAACGGGUGUGAGAGUGGAAAGUUCACACUGUGACGGUAGCUUACCAGAAAGGGACGGCUAACUACGUG
rnacentral:rRNA from 1 species